rnacentral:rRNA from 1 species
AGCUCCAAUAGCGUAUAUUAAAGUUGUUGCAGUUAAAAAGCUCGUAGUUGGAUCUGAGGAAUAGAGCCAGUGGUUGGUCACACGACUACACUGCUGGCUCUGCCUACAUAGUCGGUGAUUGUUUUGGUGCUCUUAGUUGAGUGCCUUAAUUGCCCGGCCACGUUUACUUUGAAAAAAUUGGAGUGCUCAAAUCAGGCCCACUGCCUGAACAGAUAUGCAUGGAAUAAUGGAAAAGGACUUCGGUUCUAUUUUGUUGGUUUUCGGAACAUGAAGUAAUGAUUAAGAGGGACAGACGGGGGCAUUCGUAUUGCGGUGGGAGAGGUGAAAUUCUUAGAUCAUCGCAAGACGGCCAACAGCGAAAGCAUUUGCCAAGAAUGUUUCCAUUAAUCAAGAACGAAAG